rnacentral:misc_RNA from 1 species
AGAAAAAUCUUUCCCUUGUUUUUUUUUUCGUCUAUUCUUUGUGCUGUGUCUUUAGCCAUAUUACAAUACUAAGUAUAUUGUAUGAUUACCAAGCUAAUCAUGCACAUGUUAGGCAUAAAUGUGUGAAAAUAAUUUUUUUGUUUGUCUGUGUAUGAAUAGAGGAAGAGAGUUGCAAAUAUAUGCAAUUCAAUCUAGGAUGACAUGCCAAUUGAAACUUUGUGUGGUCAUUGCCA